rnacentral:rRNA from 1 species
GAUGAGCGCUGGCGGCGUGCCUAAUACAUGCGAGUCGAGCGAACAGAUGAGGAGCUUGCUCCUCUGACGUUAGCGGCGGACGGGUGAGUAACACGUGGAUAACCUACCUAUAAGACUGGGAUAACUUCGGGAAACCGGAGCUAAUACCGGAUAAUAUAUUGAACCGCAUGGUUCAAUAGUGAAAGACGGUUUUGCUGUCACUUAUAGAUGGAUCCGCGCCGCAUUAGCUAGUUGGUAAGGUAACGGCUUACCAAGGCAACGAUGCGUAGCCGACCUGAGAGGGUGAUCGGCCACACUGGAACUGAGACACGGUCCAGACUCCUACGGGAGGCAGCAGUAGGGAAUCUUCCGCAAUGGGCGAAAGCCUGACGGAGCAACGCCGCGUGAGUGAUGAAGGUCUUCGGAUCGUAAAACUCUGUUAUUAGGGAAGAACAAAUGUGUAAGUAACUAUGCACGUCUUGACGGUACCUAAUCAGAAAGCCACGGCUAACUACGUG